GAGGAAUAUUGGUCAAUGGGCGCAAGCCUGAACCAGCCAUCCCGCGUGCAGGAUGACGGCCCUAUGGGUUGUAAACUGCUUUUAUACACCAAGAAAAAUCCCCACGUGUGGGGACCCGACGGUAGUGUAUGAAUAAGCAUCGGCUAACUCCGUGCCAGCAGCCGCGGUAAUACGGAGGAUGCGAGCGUUAUCCGGAUUCAUUGGGUUUAAAGGGUGCGUAGGCGGCUUUUUAAGUCAGUGGUGAAAUCCUGCCGCUUAACGGUAGAAUUGCCAUUGAUACUGAAGAGCUUGAGUACAAUUGAGGUAAGCGGAAUGUGUAGUGUAGCGGUGAAAUGCUUAGAUAUUACACAGAACACCGAUUGCGAAGGCAGCUUACUAAACUGUCACUGACGCUGAUGCACGAAAGCGUGGGGAGCGAAC
rnacentral:rRNA from 1 species